rnacentral:rRNA from 1 species
UUUGCUGUUUUUUUCAAAAACAUGUUUUUUUGUUAUAAAUUUAAGAUUGGCCCUGCUCAAUGAAUUUUAAAUAGCCGCGGUAAUUUAACUGUGCAAAGGUAGCAUAAUAAUUAGUCUUUUAAUUGAGGUCUGGAAUGAAUGGGUUAACGAGGAAAUAACUUUAUUAAAUAUAUUUUGUUUAAUUUAAUUUUUAAGUCAAAAAGCUUAAUUAAUUGAUUGGGACGAUAAGACCCUAUAGAUCUUUAUUUUUUAUUUAAAGUUUAUAAAUUUGGUUGAUUAUUAAUUUUGUUUUAAAUUAAAAAAUUUUGCUGGGGUGGUUUUUAAAAAUUUUAACUUUAUAUUUUUUUUACUUUAAUUUUAGAAUAUUUUGAUCCUUAAUUUUGGAUUUUAAGAUUAAGAUACCUUAGGGAUAACAGCGUUAUAUAUUUGGAGAGUUCUUAUUGAUAAAUAUGUUUGCGACCUCGAUGUUGGAUUAAAUUUAAUUGUGGGGUAGGUUUUACAAUGUUAGGUCUGUUCGACCUUUAAAAUUUUACAUGAUCUGAUUCCAGACCGGA